AGAGUAAAAUAGUACGUGAAAUUGUUGAAAGGGAAACGAUUGAAGUCAGUCGUACCGAUGAGCAUUCAGCCUUUUGGGUGCGAUUAUGUGGUACAUGAAAGAUUUUAUGAAUUGCAUAUUUGUGCAUUUUGGGUGUAUUUGCUCGUAUGGUAGGUUAACAUCAAUUUCGGUCGUCAUAAAAUGACGGGAGGAAUGUAGCUUCCCUUGGAAGUGUUAUAGCCUCUGGUAGAUGUGAUGAUCGGGAUUGAGGAUUGCAACGAAUACCCUUCGGGCUACCUGUCUGAUCUCUGGUUGUUGCUUUGGUGCUGAAAGCGUGCUUAUGGUUUCAAAGUGGAUGGCCAAAAGGUUAGAACGGGUUAAAUUCGUUAAGGAUGUUGACGUAAUGGCUUUAAACGA
rnacentral:misc_RNA from 1 species